GCGCAGCGUGAUGGGCCCUGGGGGUGGGGGUUCUUCCUGCGCCGCUUACCGAGCACGUGCUGCGUGCCCUCCACGUGCCAGGCGCCGCUGAGCUGGGACACGCGGGGGCUCGCCCGGCAUCUCGGAGGUGACACUGGAGUGCGGCCCCAGAUGCACAUGGAACCGCUUCACGGCCCCAGAAGCCUUUAGUGUGGUUUCAGUUAGAAGUGGUGGUGGCCGUUUCUGAUCCCGAGACCUGUCGUGGGAUGUGGACGCCUCGCUCUGACCGCCCCGUGCCACACUGCGCUUUCAAGUGAGGCUCCACUUGCGGAAAGUAAAUCGUGCCUACCAAGGACAGAGCAUGCACCCUUUGUUCCAGAAUCACCUAGAAGGUGCUGAUCGGGGUUCAGCCCAGGAAGAAAGUGUCUGACACAGCUCUGUCAGAAUUGGGCAGUUUGUGUUCUUGGGCCUUGUGGCUCUUCCUGUGACGUCCUAGUCCCCUGGGGAUUCAGACGCCAGGAAACGGCCCCUGCCUGCAGAGGGGGUGGUUCCGGGAUGACUCCUUCCUGCCCCUUCUUGGAGCUCGUGCUAAACGCAAGUAUUAUUUCAUAUUCUCCAGACUGUGGCCUGUAAUCUACCAAUCUGCCAGCUGUCCCCCCGCCCCCACCAGCCGGGUCAGUCUUCCCGUGACCACGCUCAGGAUUCACAAUUAGCUAGUAAUUGGUAAAUGAGCGAGGACGCACGCGUUCAUUUGUCGGUGCCGCCGGGACACAACACGCGGCAGAGCCUCGAACGGCUCGGAUCCGCACGGCGCUGGAGCGCCUGAACCACAGAUGUUCCCUCAUAUGAAAAUACAGAAGUGCAGAGGGAAAUCAGAUACCAGAUAGGCCGACAAUCUGGAGAAGGAGGAGGGAGCCAGAUGGGCGGUUUGUGGUGGUUAUCGGGCACACUCUGGCUUCCAGCGCCAGGCGGGGAGACCCCGGAUAGAAUCCGCACCGCAGAAACUUCUGCUUUAAUUUCCUGACGGAGAAGAGCAUGGGGUUAGCCGGAUGACAUAAUGAGAGUUAAGAGCAGAAGGUAAUUAUGGUAGAUGAAGGCAGAAGGAAAGGGAAGUAUGUUGGCCCUUGGAGGUCGAGUCAGUCCGUGCAGGAAAAGCAUGUGCUGCCCCGGGAAGGGAAGGAACGGUGGCCGUGUUUUCCAGGUGUGUCCUGACCGCCGGCCCUCGUCUGUCCGCAGCUGGGUGCCCCUCACCCUCCAGAAACCCCUGAAUCGUGAGCUCUUCCUCCUUCACCACCUCCACUCGGACGUCCUCUGUGGUUUGGACAAGGUCCUCGUCCUCCGGCAGAGGCCUCGGGGGAGCCCAGGGAUCCCGGGGCAGCAGUUUGAGAGACGCCACUUUUCUCCCCUCAGAAAGUCAGUACAUGAAGAGCAGGGCUGAGGUUGGUGAGGACCUGGGAAGCGGGGCCCCCCAGGACACCCCCCGACGCGGGCAGGUUCUCCGACUUGUGUGGCUAGGAGGAAGGCGGAAGUAAGUCAUUGCCGCGGGAAGAGAAGCUGCCCUUUCGGUGCCUGCUCGUCCUUUGCCUGACAGCAUCGGCAUAUUUAGAAGUAUUUUGUCUUUUAGCAAGGGAAAGCGUUUUCAGAAGCAUUUUAAACUGAGCCACUUCUUGGCACUCUGAAAGAUUCUUCAGUUUUACCACUUCCGUGAAGAUACUAGUUUAGAUACGGAAGUCGUUUGAAAGCAUCCUGAUCUUUAGCAGAACCGUAGCUUCGUAUUACAAAAACCUUAAUAUUAUAAUGUGGCGGGUAAUUACACGGUUUUUGUGAAACCCGAAAACCUGAUCAAGUAGGUUCGCCUCAUAUCGAACAUCCUGUUCUCACACCAACUUUGUAAAAGGUUUUUAUGCUCUGUGCCCUGCGAAAUAGCUGACUUUGUUAGGCAAUACGUAAAUCCCAUGCCAUCAAUGGGCUUGUUGUCUAAAACUAAUUUUUCGAAAUGUAUCCCGAAAGCAAAAAUUAAAUGUAGAUCCUAUGUA